CAGGCCUAACUCCAUCACAGGAGGGCCCAGGAUAAUGAGAGUGUGAUCCUCUGUGUCUCUGUUUGGUGUGUUUGUGAGAAAGAGGUGUUCGAUUUUCUACGCCUGUUUUGGUCAAACAACAACGCAGACUUCAUGGUCUGUUUUAAUUAAUGAGAAAGGAAGAGCUAUAGCUACAAGAGGAGUCACCUAUGUAUGCUGGCUAGCAGAAAAAUAAUCUAGAGAAGAGUUGGAGACUCGCUAUGUUCAGAGGAAAUUUUGUGCACCAUUAUGAUCCCUGUGGGCAACCAUCCUUGGCAUAGUGAAACAAAUCAUAUCCAUAGUCAUGUGUGUGUAGGCUGCGUGUAAGUGGCUUUAUAGAGAGGAUCUCGCAUCAAGUUGUGGAAUUACUCAUUCGAAUAAGUAUGAGGGUUGCAAGUAGACUCGUAUAUAAGCUUGAUGGUGAAUUAAAGAAGUUGAAUCUCUGAUUAAGCAGGGGAUGUGGGAUGGAGUAAUUUCAAAAUGUGAGGGACCAAGCUAAUGUUUACAAGAGAAUUUAACAUAUCAUGUAGGCGAAAAGGAUUCCUACAGAACUAGUGAAUACAGUUCAGCUAGUUACCCAUGUAUCUUGGUAGAUGAUCUAUUUUAUUAUGGAUGCAAUAAUCAAUUUUAAUGCAGUUAUAGAAGGAGAAGCAUAAAAGUUUGUGAAUAAAGCCCAGAGUGAUGAAGCUUUUUACA